CCUGCAUUGUACACACUGUGCGUAUAAAUGUCAUAAGCACAGCGCAUACAAUGUGGAUG
ensembl:miRNA